rnacentral:lncRNA from 10 species
GUGCAAAGCCUUAGAAGUGUCUGACGCAGAAUGCAUGUUCAACAAGGGACGUCUGCCUGAGUCCAUGAUAUGUUCAGGUGUCCAAGAGUGAACAAGAGGCAGAAAGCAGUAUAAAUCAUGGUGAUGUCGCACAGGAGGUAGGAUGACAGGCACAUACAAGGACACAUGGAAGUCAUGUUUUAACUGCUUAGGCUCUCAAAAUUGCGCCACAAACAAGGGAUCUGCCCUUGACUAUGAGCAGGGGUUGGAUCUUCAUCAACCCCAGGCAUCCGAGUUGCCUGAAUUCACGGUGCUCCUGCCCUUCCUGCUGAUCAGGUUGAGCACUGAGCUUCUGCCCUGGUCCUGCCCAGAGUCCAGUGGGUUGUGUUGAUCGUCGUUGCUCCAGGCCUCUUUGAAGACUGCUCUGAAUUGCUGACCUACUCGAGGUAGCCCCCAAGGAGCAGGGAAGGGUUCUGAAGAAUGGGCUGGUGGGGAGACAAGACAGCAAGUGAAGGCAGGAGGCACAGAGCAAGUGUGAGUCCUGGGGAUGGUGACGGGCUCCUCUGGCUGGGUUGAGGGGCUGUGUGGGAGGUGGGUGGAGAAUGAGCCCCACAUUUAUUCUUCAUAUCUCAGGCUAGACAUGAGAGCAAAGCAUCCUAAGGAGCAACCACAAACUGAGGAAAUAGAAACUGAAUCCACGGGCACAAGUAACACUCCCUGUGUAGCUUACACAGUGGAUUGGUGACUUGCUUUCAGCCACUGAAGGGAUGAUGAGAGGCUACUAGGGAAAUGCUGCUAUGUGGGGUGGACAGUGGGAAGGGUGAGUGCUAGGGGAAGAGGUCUUGGUUGUGGCAGCUCUAACCUGCUGAGGUGGAGCCACUACUGCCACGGGCUUUUCGGAUGGAGUUCCAAGGACAUGGAUGUUGGGAGCUAAAAGAAGACAAAGUUGGAGAGAGGUUGGAAGGCUGAUUGUGCAGCGCCUUGAUUCCAGCGUGCCACCCGUCACGACGACCUGCACACAGCCUGGCCUCCAGAUUCCUUGUUCCUCAAGGCCUCUAGACUGCCUCCUCCAGGAAGUCUUCCCCGGGUGCAACUUCCUCUUCCUCCAGGAGCUCAGCAUGGUGCUUUACACAUCGGUGUGCAGACUGUUUCCUCUAUCUGGAUCGAAAUGCCUUGAGAGCAGGGACUCCACCAUGUUCAUUCAUGUUUAACCCAGAGGUCCCAAGCUCUCCACACUCCUGGGUUAACCGCUUCUGGAACGUCAACUCACCUGACCCAAGCCCCCGCUGGUGCGAUGGAGAAAGGCAGGGCCCCAUUGCUCGUCCUCUCUCACAGGCCCCUUUGCUUCUCCUCGGACAGCUGCUCUGGGCAAGUCCGCGCCGGUGGGGCUGCCCUGUCCCUUGUCCCUGUCUGGCACAAUCUUUGAUGCUACCCAGCCCCACCAACAGUAAACCACACUGUCAAACAAAGCUUUAGGAAAGGUUGAGGGUAACAAGGGGUGUAUAACAACUUAGAAAGAGAAAGCGGCAGAAAAGCCACUCCUCACGUCCUCCCACCUUCUCUCUGUCUGGGGUCUUCUCUUGGCCAUCAAUCUUCUUGAUUCUGGCUGGCAGCCGUGCUUCCGAGAUCUGCUCCAGCCAAACAAGUCUGCCUUAUAAACCCUCCCUCCCCUGGCGAUGCAGACGGCCACUCUCCCUGUAAUGGUGCUCCCCACCCUCUGUGAUGAUCACCGCCCCCCCAGCACUCCCUGCCAAAGCAAAAAGCCUUUACUGGACAUUCUAAAUAUGAGCUGUAGUGCCACCAUUACAGUACAGGGACAGGCUGCACUUUAAAAAUGACACUUUCCCUAGCAUUUUGUCUUUUUUUCAUCUUAUUAUUAAAUUCAAAGCACUCAACAAGGGUGUCUGGGCCAUGUUAAGUACACAGUAAUGUUGGUUAAUUGAAUUGAUGAACCUGAUUUCCUUCAUUAUUCAAUUUGGGUUGAGAUAAAACAGUAUUUGUAACUCAUUUAAUGAAAUAAUUGAGAGACAGUGGCUGCAUCAAAUAAUGGGAGGGUUUUACAUUUGCAUCCCCUGACUUUGGAUUCACUGAAGCUGGCCGAUUAGUCAUUCCUCAGUUGGCUAUAAAGAUGCAGUAGACACCGUUCAUGUCCUCAAAACCAAUAACCAUGUUUGAUCAGAUUCAGAGAGUCGGGGCAGAUAGUGGGCACCGGGGAAACAGUUGGAAUUCCCUUUCACAUUUAGAGGAAGGCAACCCAGCCACUGCUGGCAGGUGGGCUGGAUGGCAUUAGCCCGUGAGUUAGAAAACACAGCAGAGGUGAAAUCCAGACACAAGAAAAUAGAGUAAAACUUGAGUGAAAGAGAAUUCAGUGUCUGAGCCAGAAAGACAGCUGCAGGUGUGAGGCCAUGGGACGGUCACUGGGUUCCCAGAACACAGAUUUCUGGGACAGGCAGGGACUUAGAGCCUUACAAGAGCCCUGGAGCUGCCGGGCAGCAACUAAGGUGUUUUUCAUGGGGCAGCUAUGGCCUGCUGGCCAAGAGAGCUCGAGCACGUGUCAACCAGAAGUGAGAGCUCAUGGGUACCUACCUCGGAUUUGGCCUGAAAGCCCACACAGGCUGCCAAAGACUGGAAUAAAACCCAAAUGUCCACUGACAGGAGCACGUGCGGAUAAAGUGUAAUUCACACACUCCAACAAUAAUGAUCAAACUGCAGCUGUGCAAACACGAGAGACUCACAAACAGUAUCCUGAGUGAGACAAUCAGGACAAAAGAAUACAUUUGUGUAAUUCCAGUCAUCCUAAAACAGGAAACACAGAGCCAUAUUUUUUAGGUUUGAAAUAUGUAGGUGGCAAACGUACAAAGAAAAGCAAAGGAAUUAUUAGGCUAAAUAACAAGACAAUGAAUUACUCUGGAUGGGAAGGACGUCAUGCGAAUGGCAUCAUGGGGGCUUUUGCCGUGGUGCUAACACAGACGUUCCUUGAUUGUGUUGUAAUAACAUUGUAAGUAUUGUAACCCCAUUGACUGUGGAGUUACAAUAAGUAAGUAACCCCAUUGAUUCUCUUGUAACCCCAUUGUAAGUGGAAAAUAUUGUAAGUUGAAACUGUAUGUAAUCAACCUAACCUACCAAGCACCAUAGCCAGCUUAUCCCAGCCUGUUUUAAACAUGCUCAGAAUACUUGCAUUAGCCUGCAGUUGAGCAAAACUAUCUACCACAAAGCCUAGUUUAUAAUAAAGUGUUGAGGGCGGGUGCAGUGGCUCACAGCUAUAAUCCCAGCACUUUGGGAGGUUGAGGUGGGCAGAUCUCUUGAGGUCAGGAGUUCGAGACCAGCCUGGCCAACAUGGUAAAACCCCAUCUCUACUAAAAAUACAAAAAUUAGCCAGGCGUCAUGGAGGGUGCCUGUAACCCCAGCUACUCAGGAGGCUGAGGCAGGAGGAUUGCAUGAACCCGGGAGGCAGAUGUUACAGUAAGCCAAGAUUGUGCCACUGCACUCCAGCCAGGGUGACAGAGUGAGACACAAAAAAACAAAAAAUAAAAACAAAAGACACAAAAAAACAAAAAUAAAAAAUAAAGUGUUGACUACCUCAUGUAAUGUGUUGAAUACUUUGGUGAAAGUGAAAAACAGAAUGGUUUCAUGGGUACUCGAAGCAUGGCUUCUGCUGAAUGCCUAUUGCUUUCACACCAUCAAAAAAUCAUAAGUCAAGCCAUUGUGAGUCAGAGACUGUCUCUAUUCUACUUUUUAAUCUGCCUGCUGGUUAUAAUUGGCCGCAUAUGUUUUAUGCACUUUUCUUUUUCUAUGUUAUAUUUCAUAACGUGUUUUUAAGUGAAAAGAAGUCGC